GCCGGGGCAGCUUAGCCUGGUAGAGCGCGGGGCUCAUAACCCCGAGGUCCCGGGUUCAAAUCCCGGCCCCGGCACCA
rnacentral:tRNA from 2 species